rnacentral:rRNA from 1 species
GCCUCUGGAGUACUGACGCAAGGGUUAUCCUCUAAGGAAUUAAAGGGGGCCCGCACAAGCGUUAGAGCCUAUAGUUUAAUAUGAAGCAACGCGAAGACGCUUUCCAAAUCCUGAUAGCCUGUAACAACUCGAGAGAUAGAGCUUUGGCCUUCGGGGGACAAAGUGACAGAUGGUGCAUGGUGGUCGUCAGCUCGUGUCGUGAGAUGUUGGGUUAAGUCCCGCAACGAGCGCAACCCUUAAGCUUAGUUGCCAUCAUUAAGUGCGGCACUAUUAAGUUGACUGCCGUUGACAAAGCGUAGGAAGGUGGUGACGGCGUCAAAGCAU